AAAUGAGUUGCACCUUUUCUAUCCGUUCUCUCUUCUCUCUUUAAGGUCAAUCACCGGUGAACACAACGCUCCAGUGAGCCGCACCGCCGGCAAGUCCGAAAUACUUUGUUUCUCUUGGAGCAUGAUAGCCUUAUCAUGCACCCACCAUAAAGAGAUGGCCAAAACUACUAAUUUCGAUGAUAAUUUGAGUGAAGGUACUAAUAUAGUGGGAGCUCAUCUACUCAGUUGGGAGGAGCAAUUGUGGGGGAAAAUAUAAUGAAGAUUUUAUCUAUGACCUUGAUGAUUAUGGGUUUCAAUGGUCCAACAUAGGUGAUCCAAGACCUGGGGUCACAGAAAAGGGAAUUAGGGCCAAGUCAGAGACUAAGUAAGCCGAUGAAAGCACGAUUGAAAGAGUGGGCAAGUGUAACUCAGAAGAUGGAUAGCGGAAAAUUGUCUUGGACUGAUAAGGUUGAGGCGUAAAUGACAAUUACUACUAAAAGCACUAGCAAAACUAGCAAUCUAUGGGAUAUCUCUGACAUCUCAAAAAAAUUCUAAUGUGAAGUUUAUCAAUCCUCUACUACGGUUACCAAUAGUUGGUGAUGUGGCGUAUGAAACCCUCGUGAAGCUUACAAAGUGUUUUGCUACUCCACUUUAUAACUAGGCUCUUAAGAUUGCAACAACCUUAAGGUUAAUUAUGUCAACGGAUGCUAAUGUCUUAUGGGGUCAAAUUCCUUCUGCUGGUGAAGAGGUAUCAAAUGGAAGGCCUGGUCUCUUUGAGUGUGUAACAAACGGUUUAUCCAUCUCCUGCAAAAUUGGGCCUCUCCCUGUGGAUUAAUUUACUUUUGUUUUCCCUAUAAUGGAGAGAAUAUUGUUAUCUCAUAAGAAGACCAGACUUCAUGAUGAUGUUCUCAAGAUAGUAUUUUUUCAUUUGGAUUCGUUCUUACCCCUACCUAGAGUUCAAAUGCUCGCAGUUCUUUAUCAUGUCCUGGGUGUUGCUCCUGCCUAUCAAGUAACUAUUGGACCAGCAUUAAGUGUAGAAUGAGUUUGAAAGAAAGAAACAAGAAAUAUUACCUGCUCAAACUGCAUCAAUUGUGGAAGGAGGAUGAGAAAGGAAUUAGACUUUUUGAUUAAGCAUGUAUACAAGAAAUCAUCUGCAACUGAUGAAUGUCCAUCUCAAAAAGACAACCAAGCUUAUGAGGAUGAAAGUAAUGGUGGCUCUGACGAAGUGAAUAAAAAUGAUAAUCCUGAUAAUGUAAAUGGAAAUUAUUCUGACCCUAAUGGUUGGUAGUUGUAUUGAGGAUUCAAGUUUAACAUAUUUUGUUUUGUACCACUUAAGAAUCAUACACUAUUGAUAUGGAUGUUUUGAAUUAUGUUUUUUUGCUUAGCUGUAAGGGUUUAAUAUUAGAUUUAUAUUGAAUGAUGUUUUUGAGAAUUAUUGAAGGUUUUGAAUAAUUUUUGAUU